rnacentral:misc_RNA from 1 species
AUAUAAUCAACUCCUUCAGCUUUUUUGUUGAGUGGAGUUGGAUGUGGGGGUUUUUGUUGGUCUUCUUAGUGAAAGUCAGCUCCCCUAAAAUGUAUUAGCGGAACAAUCUCUUGACUGUUCAUUAGUGUGAUAAUUAUCUACGCUAUUGAACUGUGAGGCAAGUUCAGCUUCUAAUAGUCCAUUGACUUGGACAAUUUCUAUUAA